CUGUUCGAGCGUCAUUAUAACCACUCAAGCCUGGCUUGGUAUUGGGGUUCGCGGUUCCGCGGCCCCUAAAAUCAGUGGCGGUGCCGGUGGGCUCUAAGCGUAGUAAAUCUCCUCGCUAUAGGGUCCCUCCGGUUGCUCGCCAGAACCCCCAAUUUUUUAAGGUUGACCUCGGAUCAGGUAGGGAUACCCGCUGAACUUAA
rnacentral:misc_RNA from 1 species